GCCCCCGGAAACGGAAGUCAGGCUACGAGUCACGGUGGCUCCGCGCUGGCGGCGGGUUCCCCCACAAGGUCUUGGGGAAAGGAGCAUGCGCUGGAAGCUGUGUGCUGUUGGUUUUGAGGAUCUUCAGUAAGCUGAAAGCGGAGAGUCAGGGGCCUUGUGUCCUACCAUGGUAUUUGCUAACGUUUAGAGAGUGCUUCCCCUUGCCGAGCACUGGAUGAUGUCAGAAGUGGGAUCCGAAGUGGAGCUUCUGGUGACGCCCAGGAGUGCUGAGUGAACACGCAAGAACCCAAAGAUUGGAUCUUCUGAGAACAUCAGAGAAAGACUGUCCUUACCAUCCACACCACAGCAAAACUUUGGAGCCUUGAACAUUGGGUUCAUAAUCUCACAGCUGAGAAAGGUCCCUCCACACUCCUGGAACUGUACACCUAUUGGAACCCUUAAGAGAUCCGCACGCAGCUGGUGGAGCAGUUCAAAUGUCUGGAGCAGCAAUCAGAGUCGCGACUGCAGCUGCUUCAAGACCUCCAGGAGUUUUUCCGCCGGAAAGCUGAGAUUGAGCUCGAGUACUCCCGCAGCCUGGAGAAGCUGGCUGAGCGCUUCUCCUCCAAAAUCCGCAGCUCCCGGG
rnacentral:lncRNA from 1 species